rnacentral:rRNA from 1 species
GACAGAGGUGCCGAGCGUUAGGCGGAAUCACUGGGCUUAAAGCGUGUGUAGGCGGGUCCGUAAGUACCUUGUGAAAUCCCACGGCUCAACCGUGGAACUGCUCGGUAUACUGCGGGCCUUGAGCCAGCUAGGGGCAACCGGAACAAACGGUGGAGCGGUGAAAUGCGUAGAUAUCAUUUGGAACGCCAAUGGUGAAAACAACUCGCUGGGGGUGUGCUGACGCUGAGACACGAAAGCCAGGGGAGCGAACGGG